rnacentral:snoRNA from 2 species
GCCCUCUCAGGGUCACACCUGGAGAGUUUCCACUAUUCUACCAGUCUCGACUAGAGGAGGGAGAGUCAAGCAGAGGCCUGUCCAUUCCAUUCCUAGCUGGGGCAGUUGCUAGCGAGUGGAAGGUCAUCUGCUACAAGU